UACGAAGGGGGCUAGCGUUGUUCGGAAUUAUUGGGCGUAAAGGGCGCGUAGGCGGCUGUACAAGUCAAAGGUGAAAUCCCUCGGCUCAACUGAGGAACUGCCUUUGAAACUGUACGGCUUGAGGCCGGGAGGGGGUAGCGGAAUUCCCAAUGUAGCGGUGAAAUGCGUAGAUAUUGGGAGGAACACCAGUGGCGAAGGCGGCUACCUGGACCGGUUCUGACGCUGAUGCGCGAAAGCGUGGGUAGCAAACAGG
rnacentral:rRNA from 1 species